rnacentral:rRNA from 1 species
GAUGUCUACUAGCCGUUGGGACUCUUGAAGUCUUAGUGGCGCAGCUAACGCACUAAGUAGACCGCCUGGGGAGUACGGCCGCAAGGUUAAAACUCAAAUGAAUUGACGGGGGCCCGCACAAGCGGUGGAGCAUGUGGUUUAAUUCGACGCAACGCGAAGAACCUUACCUGGCCUUGACAUGCAGAGAACUUUCCAGAGAUGGAUUGGUGCCUUCGGGAACUCUGACACAGGUGCUGCAUGGCCGUCGUCAGCUCGUGUCGUGAGAUGUUGGGUUAAGUCCCGUAACGAGCGCAACCCCUAUCCCUAGUUGCUAGCAGUUCGGCUGAGAACUCUAGGGAGACUGCCGGUGACAAACCGGAGGAAGGUGGGGAUGACGUCAGGUCAUCAUGGCCCUUACGGCCAGGGCUACACACGUGCUACAAUGGCGCGCACAGAGGGCUGCAAACCCGCGAGGGGGAGCCAAUCUCACAAAACGCGUCGUAGUCCGGAUCGCAGUCUGCAACUCGACUGCGUGAAGUCGGAAUCGCUAGUAAUCGUGAAUCAGAAUGUCACGGUGAAUACGUUCCCGGGCCUUGUACACACCGCCCGUCACACCAUGGGAGUGGAUUGCACCAGAAGUGGUUAGUCUAACCUUCGGGAGGACGAUCACCACGGUGUGGUUCAUGACUGGGGUGAA